rnacentral:rRNA from 1 species
UACGGGGGGGGCAAGCGUUGUUCGGAAUUACUGGGCGUAAAGGGCGCGUAGGCGGCCUAUUAAGUCGGACGUGAAAUCCCUCGGCUCAACCGGGGAACUGCGUCCGAUACUGGCAGGCUUGAAUCCGGGAGAGGGAUGUGGAAUUCCAGGUGUAGCGGUGAAAUGCGUAGAUAUCUGGAGGAACACCGGUGGCGAAGGCGGCAUCCUGGACCGGUAUUGACGCUGAGGAGCGAAAGCCAGGGGAGCAAACGGG